ACAUGAACCAAUAUCAGAGAAAAGAAAACAGAAUGUUUGUACUUGAUACUUCCUGAAAGAUAAUCAAUGAUCAAUAUUGUUGUAAUGUAACCAAUGAAAGGAAAUGAACAUAUGUGCAACCCCUCAAACAAACCAGUCAACACAAUACUUUAAAUCCUCUUUAUCUGAGCUCACACAGUACAAACAAUGAGGUGACAUCUGUGCGUCAUCCUUGAGGACAGAAAUGCCAAGAAACGCGAGGAAUGUGUCGUCACCUGUUGCUGCUGUAGCCGCUGCUCCAGCCUGCCGUCAGAGGAAGAAGAAAGAGUGAAGACGAAACCAGAGGUUACCCGAUGUGCUCGGCGUGGACAUGUGGAGUUGAUCACGGUGGCUGAAGCUGAUGUUUUCUUGGGACUGUCGACAGGUUGACAGACCAGGCGCUGCACUGACAUCGAACCUCACUUCA